UACGAAGGGGGCGAGCGUUGUUCGGAUUUACUGGGCGUAAAGGGCGCGCAGGCGGCUUAUUUUGUCAGGCGUGAAAGCCCCGGGCUUAACCUGGGAACUGCGUUUGAUACGGAUGGGCUAGAGUUCGGGAGAGGAGAGUGGAAUUCCCAGUGUAGAGGUGAAAUUCGUAGAUAUCGAGAGGAACACCUGCGGCGAAGGCGGGUUGCUGGGCUGACGCUGACGCUGACAGCGCGAAAGCUAGGGGAGCGAACGGG
rnacentral:rRNA from 1 species